rnacentral:rRNA from 1 species
GACGAACGCUGGCGGCGUGUCUAAUACAUGCAAGUCGUGCGGACCUUUUAAAAGCUUGCUUUUAAAAGGUUAGCGGCGGACGGGUGAGUAACACGUGGGCAACCUGCCUGUAAGACUGGGAUAACGCCGGGAAACCGGGGCUAAUACCAGAUCGUUUUUUCCUCCGCAUGGAGGAAAAAGGAAAGGCGGCUUCGGCUGCCACUUACAGAUGGGCCCGCGGCGCAUUAGCUAGUUGGCGGGGUAAUGGCCCACCAAGGCAACGAUGCGUAGCCGACCUGAGAGGGUGAUCGGCCACAUUGGGACUGAGACACGGCCCAAACUCCUACGGGAGGCAGCAGUAGGGAAUCUUCCGCAAUGGACGAAAGUCUGACGGAGCAACGCCGCGUGAGUGAAGAAGGCCUUCGGGUCGUAAAACUCUGUUGCCGGGGAAGAACAAGUGCCGUUCGAACAGGGCGGCGCCUUGACGGUACCCGGCCAGAAAGCCACGGCUAACUAC